rnacentral:tRNA from 1 species
GCGAAAGUGGCGGAAUUGGCAGACGCGCUGGACUUAGGAUCCAGUUCCGAUAAGGAGUGGGGGUUCGACUCCCCCCUUUCGCA